rnacentral:lncRNA from 10 species
GAAUAUAUCAUUUUAUAUCUUUUUUUAUCAGUCUCUUAGUCCCGAGAAUAGAUCAGUUCAGUUAAACAGCUAUGUCUCAUUCCAGGGGGUGGCAUUACAGAUGGACUAGGACUCUAUAUAUGAAGCGGCAAACAGAUUUUUAAUAAAAGGUGUUUCUAUGAAAACAGAAGAAAAACAAAGGUUAAUAUCUACUGUAGACUAUACACUAGUUUUUUGAGAGUCUCUGUAGUUCUUCAGAUUGUAGUGUUAAUCUGACAGAGUCUCCUGGUUGUAGUUUAAAUCAGGUGUUGCAGUGAACUUUCUGAGUAUUCCAUACAUCAACAAAGCAUAAAAGCUGUUUAUAUAUAAGUUGCUGUAGUGAUUUUUCCCAUAGUUUAUUCAAGUUGUCUUGCUCCAGUCUGCAGGGCUUCAAGAAAAGCAUAGUUUUAACUUCUACUUAUUCCAAGUCAGAAACAUAGGAGAAAAAAAUUUAAAUGUUAGCUUGGAGACUUGUAGCCAGGAAAGAAUUCAAGAUUUAGUUCAAAUGUAGGCAAAUAAUUACAACUUAAAAACAAUGGACAAAGCUAGAAUCUAACAACAGGUAUGCUAUCAUUUUCUUCUGAAACAUAAUUCUUCUCUCUCCAGUCCCCCUUUUCUAUUAAAGGCAAAUCAUAACAGGACCAAUUUAUUUGCAAAAUAAGUUUUAGUUUUAUUAUAUUUGGCCUGAUUAUUUGCAUAAAGUACAGCAAAAAUAGUGAUUGACCACAUAUAGGCUCUUUUAAAGUUUGGCUUUGUUGGAACUUUUUCAUAAGGAAUUUCACAUUCAACUUUUAAAAACUCUCAAGGCUAAGAAGCCAAGACAAGGAUUCACAAUCAGACUGCACUUGUAAUUCCUGUAUAAAUUGGAUACACUCCUCUCUUGUCAAGGUUCCCAAAAUAUCCUGAGGCUCCUGGGCCUGCCAGAGAGUGACAUUCUUUACUACCGCAAGGUCAGGAACCUUGUAAGGAAACUGUGUAGACAAGGUAUCAGGCUAAUUUUUCCAACAGGCUUUUUAUAGGCUCUAUAAAGUCAACUUCAAAUCCUCAAAGCAGUCUGGUCAUUAAAAAAUUAUGCCAUUCCAAUGAAAGCCUUGGCAAAAUAAUCAGUGUAUCCAACUGUGUUCUGUUACAAAAGAAAACAGAUUCCUAUCGAAUUUGUACAAAUAACUAUAUUGCCAAAAGUGAAGAAUACUCACAAAUACUUUCCAAAUUCUGGAGACAUCAGGUAGAGAGAAAGGUUAGUGUUUCAAUUGUUCUCACAAAAGUGUAAUUUAUCUAAUUACUGUAAGCUAUGUACAGCUCAAAAGAAAAAAACAAUUUUCUUGACUCUGGAAAACAAAACAUAAAAAGUAUCAGCAAUGUCUCAAACCAAAAAAAGGUUAUGAAAAUAUUAUUUUGGCAUUUUAUCAGUUCAGCCCCAUGUAAUUAACUUAUUCUGCUUGAUGUUGGAUUAGCAAUCUUCAUUAAUUUAUUAGAUUUUAAAAAAUUAUUUUAGAAGUUUUUAACUAGUCCAACGGUGUGAAUUCCAAAGUUAUCAGAAAACUGUGUUUAAGUGUGUGUGCUGUCAGGGCCCUUUCCAUGGAUUUUUUUUUUUUUUUUUUGAACAAGCAGAUUUUAGGCUGUAGCCAAUUACAAACCACUUUUGAAAAGAAUCCAAGUAAAACAAUAAUCAUCUGUGAAUGACAAAAGACUUAGAAGAGCCAUGAUUACUGAUGCAAUUGACAAAGAAAUUUCAUUAUUUCUGUGGUAUACAAUAAUUUAACAGGAUAACAAUUAUUACCAAUAACAUAUAACAAGAUCUAUCAACAUUUUAGCAAUAUGAUACAAUUUUGGGAUGCAUAUUAAUAACAGAUUUAUACAAAUACAACUCAAAGAAAAUUAAACAACAUUUUUUAUUUGAUCAGCUUCCUGUAUGAUUUUAAUAUACCAAAUUAGCCUAAUAUGUUUCUUUUGGACUUCCAGGGGCCCUAUUUGGACUUCCAAGGGCUUUAAUGCCCAAAAGUUAGCUUGAGGUCGAAAACAUUUAAGUUAGAAUUUUACAUUUGAUUUUGGGAAGUUUGUCAAAUAUCAAAGGUUUAAAACACUUGAUCAAAAUAAGAUUACAGGUCACUGUAAGAUAAUAGUUAUUCAUUUAGCCAAACUGAUAAUUCAAAAAUUUCAAAAAGCAAAAAUUUUACUCUUUGACAGAGGGGAGAUUCAGUUUUCCAAACAAUCAAAAGACAUAAUAAAAACAGCAUUAGGGAAAUUCUCUCCUCUUAUUACUAAUAUUUUUUGCAGUUUACUCAAAAGGUAAACAAAAAUCUUUUACUAUUUCUUAUUAAUGUAUACAAAAAUCUUGUUCAAAAGAGAAAUCCAAAUUCUAACUUUGUGCCAGUGUAUUAUAAAUGCUAAAGCUAAUUUUAAUAAAGCCUUAUAAAAAGGUUCCAUGAACCUUUUAUAACCUCUUAUAAUUGUUACGGU